rnacentral:piRNA from 1 species
AAAGUGAAAAUUGUAGCCUGUGAUGG